AGAAGGGGAAUGUAGAGGAAUGCAGAACAAGCGAACUACUCCAAUUCUGCAGGGCCUACUGGCAGUCGAUCCUAAAGAAACAGCACAACAACAAAACAACAGGAAAUGUUCAGUUUCUUGCUACUGCUAAUUAUUCAGGAAUAAUAUACCAUUUUAAAAUCUUCUCAAAGACAAAGACUCACGUUUGAUGACUUUACACAGAGUUGUGUCAAUCAGAGGCAAUUUCUCCCUUUUCC